rnacentral:rRNA from 1 species
UGGGGAAUUUUGCGCAAUGGGCGAAAGCCUGACGCAGCGACGCCGCGUGUGCGAUGAAGGCCCUUGGGUCGUAAAGCACUGUCGAUCGGGACGAAAACUCCUGGGCUAACAUCCCAGGGGCUUGACGGUACCGGUAAAGGAAGCACCGGCUAACUCUGUGCCAGCAGCCGCGGUAAUACAGAGGGUGCAAACGUUGCUCGGAAUUAUUGGGCGUAAAGCGCGUGUAGGCGGUUUGCUAAGUCGACUGUGAAAGCCCAUGGCUCAACCAUGGAAGUGCAGUCGAAACUGGUAGGCUUGAGUCCUGGAGAGGGUGGCGGAAUGCCCAGUGUAGAGGUGAAAUUCGUAGAUAUUGGGUAGAACACCGGUGGCGAAGGCGGCCACCUGGACAGCGACUGACGCUAAGACGCGAAAGCGUGGGGAGCGAACAGGAUUAGAUACCCGCGUAGUCC